GACGUGGGGGGCCAGCGUUGCUCGGAAUUACUGGGUGUAAAGGGUUCGUAGGCGGUGUGGCGAGUCGGGAGUGAAAUCUCUGGGCUUAACUCAGAGACUGCUUCCGAAACUGCUGUGCUUGAGUGUGGGAGAGGCGCGUGGAAUUGCAGGUGUAGCGGUGAAAUGCGUAGAUAUCUGCAGGAACACCCGUGGCGAAAGCGGCGCGCUGGACCACUACUGACGC
rnacentral:rRNA from 1 species